rnacentral:rRNA from 1 species
AUUGAACGCUGGCGGCAUGCCUAACACAUGCAAGUCGAACGAGUGGCGGACGGGUGAGUAAUGUCUGGGAAACUGCCUGAUGGAGGGGGUUACAUACUGAAAACGGUAGCUAAUACCGCAUACCAUCGGAUUUGCACAGAUGGGAUUAGCUGGUAGGUGGGGUAAAGGCUCACCUAGGCGACGAUCCCUAGCUAGUCUGAGAGGAUGACACGCCACCCUGGAACUGAGACACGGUCCAGACUCCUACGGAAGCCAGCAGUGGGGAAUAUUGCACAAGGGGCGCACGCCGGAUGCAGCCAUGCCGCGUGUAUGAAGAAGGCCUUCGGGUUGUAAAGUACUUUCAGCGGGGAGGCGUUACCCGCAGAAGAAGCACCGGCUAACUCCGUGCCAGCAGCCGCGGUAAUAC